UAGAAAAAUUUCAUGUCUACAAAUUACAAACCUAAAAUAUAUGUACUUUCAAAGAUUUUUAUUUUCCACUCCAUCAAGAUUUUGCUGAUCUCGAUUUGUUUUUGUUACUGCUCAUCCCGACGCUUGUGUUUGCUGCAGGUCAAUAGAGACGAUUAUAUUGAGAUAGAUUGGUUCAUUUUAUGUAGACCAUACACCAGCCAUAUGUAUCAUAGCUUUUUAUUUAUCUUACCUCUUCUUAUACAAUAAUAUAUCACUAAUGCUAAUGCAGCUUAUUGCAAUCUUGUGUUGUAGUAUUUUCCCCUUAUAUAGUAUGUGUCUCACAAGCUUAUUCUAUGGCAAACAAUGUGUGAGGUUUCAGAUUCUGUAAUUUUUAGACAUAAAGGGUUGCAUGAAUAUUUUACAGGUGGGAACACAAGACAUAUAAUUUGGAGCAUUUGAUCCAUAGAUUCUGUAAUUUGUUACUUCAAUUUUUUUCAUAAAUUAUGCUUGUCUAGAGGAAGAUAGUAGCAUGGCUUGUACUUUAGGUCUGUAGGAACACAAGACAUAUAAUUUGGAGCAUAUGAAUACUCUCCGCCGUCACUGAUCUUAAUUUUGAAACGUUUCUCACUGAUCUUCGGAUUGAAAAGUUGCAGCACUUAUUACAUUUUAUCAUUUUACCUGAAGAUGUAACAUGAAAAAUUGCAGUAUUUGUCUGGAAAAUUAAUUUGCUCUCACAUCUGAAGUCGUGUCUAUCCUGUAGCUUGGCACUAGUUAGUUUGGUUCAUUAAACCCAAGUACAAUAUGAAACUUCGUUGCCAACUUUGAAAUCCCAUACUGGAUUCCGAUCACAUUGGUCUAAUUUUAUCAUUUUGGCCCUGUGCAGUUUUUAACAUUUCAGUUUUGCUGUGUUUGAGGUAGAGGCGCUGAUUAUUUGUUCCAUAUAUGUACUUUUUUGUUCUGUUCAGUUGCGUGCAUGACAAAAUGUAGUUUUCAGUAGCAUGACUGUUGAUUACUAAUUGCUAUGGCAUUUUAUUUUCUGAUACAUCUAAAGCGUCCAAUGCGAUUUGCUUCACUGCAGAGUAAUAUGGAUGAAGAACUGAGGGCAGCGUUUGGUCAAACAAUUCCGGUAGGAAAUUGGUUUUCGCAAAUGCCCAAAUUGUGGUAAAGGCAGUAAAGGCCAUGAAUGUUGCUACUGGGGUGAAGGAGAACAUCCAGCUCAUGAGGGGGCUUCACAUGGUCACCGAUAUCCAAUACCUUGAUUGUCGUGAGGCGCUCGUGUGGAAGUGCAAGAUGGACUAAGAGGAAUCACAGAAGUACAAGGAAUGGAAGUUCAUAUUUGAGAAGGCAAAUAUUGUACAUCAGAAUUAGUAGUAAAUAAAAAAGUCAAAGAUGUGCCAAAAUACUAUGAUGGAGAUGUGAAUUGUGAUCCAUGCCUUUAUACAUAGCAGUCACCUGUAAGUACCAAUUUGUUGGUUGCGCCAUCUUAUUUCGCACUAUAAAUUACACUUCUAUA